rnacentral:tRNA from 1 species
UCCCUGGUGGCUCAGAGGUUAAAGCGUCUGCCUGCAAUGCGGGAGACCCUGGUUCAAUCCCUGGGUUGGGAA